rnacentral:rRNA from 1 species
UAGGGAAUCUUCGGCAAUGGACGAAAGUCUGACCGAGCAACGCCGCGUGAGUGAUGAAGGUUUUCGGAUCGUAAAACUCUGUUGCCAGGGAAGAAAGGCUUAGAGAGUAACUGCUCUGAGAUUGACGGUACCUGAGAAGAAAGCCCCGGCUAACUACGUGCCAGCAGCCGCGGUAAUACGUAGGGGGCAAGCGUUGUCCGGAAUUAUUGGGCGUAAAGCGCGCGCAGGCGGUUGAUUAAGUCUGAUGUAUAAACCUGAGGCUCAACCUUGGAUCGCAUUGGAAACUGGUGAACUGGAGUGUAGGAGAGGAAAGUGGAAUUCCACGUGUAGCGGUGAAAUGCGUAGAUAUGUGGAGGAACACCAGUGGCGAAGGCGACUUUCUGGCCUAUAACUGACGCUGAGGCGCGAAAGCGUGGGGAGCAAACAG